rnacentral:rRNA from 1 species
UGGGGAAUAUUGGACAAUGGGCGCAAGCCUGAUCCAGCCAUGCCGCGUGAGUGAUGAAGGCCUUAGGGUUGUAAAGCUCUUUUAUCCGGGACGAUAAUGACGGUACCGGAAGAAUAAGCCCCGGCUAACUUCGUGCCAGCAGCCGCGGUAAUACGAAGGGGGCUAGCGUUGCUCGGAAUCACUGGGCGUAAAGGGCGCGUAGGCGGACGUUUAAGUCAGGGGUGAAAUCCCGGGGCUCAACCUCGGAAUUGCCUUUGAUACUGGGUGUCUCGAGACCGGAAGAGGUAAGUGGAACUGCGAGUGUAGAGGUGAAAUUCGUAGAUAUUCGCAAGAACACCAGUGGCGAAGGCGGCUUACUGGUCCGGUUCUGACGCUGAGGCGCGAAAGCGUGGGGAGCAAACA